UACGGGGGGAGCAAGCGUUGUUCGGAUUUACUGGGCGUAAAGCGUGCGCAGGCGGUCUGCUAAGAGAGAUGUGAAAUCCCCGGGCUUAACCUGGGAACUGCGUUUCUAACUGGCAGGCUUGAGUGUGGCAGAGGGGGGUGGAAUUCCACGUGUAGCAGUGAAAUGCGUAGAGAUGUGGAGGAACACCGAUGGCGAAGGCAGCCCCCUGGGCUAACACUGACGCUCAUGCACGAAAGCGUGGGGAGCAAACAGG
rnacentral:rRNA from 1 species